CUUUUUUAAUUCCUACUGAAAAAUAAGCAGUCCCUUCUUUUUGUAAUUCCAUCAAUUACGGUAAUCUGUCAAAAGGCAAAAACCCAACAGUCGUUUCUCCUUACAUUCGUUUUGUAACAGACGCUCUUAAUUACCGUACUUGCUUUCUCUUCAAUCCUCUAUGUUUUAUUACUCAUUAUUUUUUCUCAAUGGCCACAUAGGAAUUGUUUCUCUCAAUUCUCAAGGCAUGUUGUGUUGACGCCUAUGAAAUGUUCGACAAAAAGCUCUAUAGAGAGGUACAAUUUCCACGGCUGCUGGACAAACCACUCAACAGAUGCAGCUGCCGGUAUUAAUUAUAUCAUGAAAGGACUACUUCCAAAAAUGAUUCAGGUUAAAGAGAAAGCACAUGGCAAACCUGUGGUCUAUCGGCUA